rnacentral:lncRNA from 1 species
AUGAUUUGCAGCAAAUGAAUAGCAGUGAAGGAGGUAAAAGAUUCAACAUCACCAAAGUCUUUGAUGUUCUUUGUUCCCAAGAUCUCAAGCAGCUUGAAAGUAAGACCUGGAACACUUCUCCAAGGAUACAUACACCACAAGGGAAUCCAAAUGUAGACACACAGGAAUGGCCAUGUUGAUUCAUGGAUUAACAGCCAGCCUGAAAGUCAGAAACAUCUACAUUCAAGUCUUCAACUCUGACACAUAUUGACUAUGCAACCUCAGGGCAAUGACUUCAUGUCUCACUUUCCCCCAGUCACUCUCUAAGACUUGAAGUUGUAAAGAAGGUGCUAAUUUGCAUUAGUAGAAAAAUUUUCCUCUACCAAGGAAAUUAGAGUCUAGUGUCUACUUUUUUCCUUUUGUAACUUUCCCUUGUAAUAUAGAAACUUCUCUCCUUAGUGAAAAUGUCAACU